rnacentral:piRNA from 1 species
CUAGAUCGGAUGCCUUGACACACC